UACGUAGGCAGCAAGCGUUGUUCGGAGUUACUGGGCGUAAAGGGUGUGUAGGCGGUUGUUUAAGUUUGUGUGAAAUCUCCCGGCUCAACCGGGAGGGUGCGCCGAAUACUGAAUAACUAGAGUGCGGGAGAGGAAAGUGGAAUUCCUGGUGUAGCGGUGAAAUGCGUAGAUAUCAGGAGGAACACCGGUGGUGUAGACGGCUUUCUGGACCGUAACUGACGCUGAGACACGAAAGCGUGGGUAGCAAACAGG
rnacentral:rRNA from 1 species